ensembl:lncRNA
GGGUAGGUUAGGUAAGUAGUGGGCAGGCAGGUAAUGUAGGAGAGGGUAGGUUAGGUAAGUAGUGGGCAGGCAGGUAAGGUAGGAGAGGUUAGGUAAGUAGUGGGUAGGUAGGUUAGGUAAGUAGUGGGCAGGCAGGUAAGGUAGGCGAGGGUAGGUUAGGUAAGUAGUGGGUAGGUAGGUUAGGUAAGUAGUGGGCAGGCAGGUAAUGUAGCAGAGGGUAGGUUAGGUAAGUAGUGGGCAGGCAGGUAAGGUAGGCGAGGGUAGGUUAGGUAAGUAGUGGGUAGGUAGGUUAGGUAAGUAGUGGGCAGGCAGGUAAUGUAGCAGAGGGUAGGUAAGUAGUGGGUAGGUAGGAGAGGGUAGGUUAGGUAAGUAGUGGGUAGGCGGGUAGGUAGGAGAGGGUAGGUUAGGUAAGUAGUGGGUAGGCGGGUAGGUAGGAGAGGGUAGGUUAGGUAAGUAGUGGGUAGGCGGGUAGGUAGGAGAGGGUAGGUUAGGUAAGUAGUGG